AACGUAGGUGGCUAGCGUUGUCCGGAAUUACUGGGUGUAAAGGGAGCGCAGGUGGGACUGCAAGUCGAAUGUGAAAUCCACGGGCUCAACCCGUGAAUUGCGUUCGAUACUGUGGUUCUUGAGUGGAGUAGAGGCAGGCGGAAUUCCCGGUGUAGCGGUGGAAUGCGUAGAUAUCGGGAGGAACACCAGUGGCGAAGGCGGCCUGCUGGGCUCUAACUGACACUGAGGCUCGAAAGCGUGGGUAGCAAACAGGAUUAGAUACCCUGGUAGUCCACGCUGUAAACGAUGAUUACUAGGUGUGGGGGGACUGACCCCCUCCGUGCCGCAGUUAACACAAUAAGUAAUCCACCUGGGGAGUACGGCCGCAAGGUUGAA
rnacentral:rRNA from 1 species